AAAUGUAUCAUUUUUUGUUGUAUUUUUACAUUACAAAAAUGUAAAUUAAUAUUAAAUGCAAGGGAUUAAAGUGAAUUUUUUUAUGUUUCAUGCAUACUUGAAGGUGUAUAAAAUGCAUCACAAAACUUAAUGAACUCGGGUACUACAGGCUAAAAAUGAAGAGGUUUUGGCAGUGGCACACAGAGAAAAGGAUAUUUUAAAUUGAUUGGCAAAAUGAUUUUUUUUACAAAAAGCCUUGGAAAAUAAAACUGCAUUAGUUAUGCAUAAACAGAGUAAUGUUUGCUUAUUUAUUUUUAAAAUAUUAGAAAAUUAUAAAUUAGGGUUUAUCAGAGCAACUUUAAUUUUAUUAUAACACAACAACAUUUACUUUUGGGCCACGGCCCUCAGUCAGGUUUGGCCCUUGUAAGGAAAAUGUUCGGGCACCAAUCAAUGUGUAGUUUAUCUGAGGAGGUAACUGUUUAGCAUAUGAUAAUGCAUGCUUGUACAAAGUCAGUCCACAUAUUAUAAUGUUUGUCUUCAAUCAAUCAAUUUAAAUAAAAGAGAUGGGGACUUUAUAAUAUAAUAAGGGUCCAUAUAUCACAGUGAUAAAAGACAUACAUGUAUUUUUACUUUAACAUGAACUAAUGCUGAGUUAAGGCAUAUACUAUCAUAAACUAAGAGUCAUCAUUAAGAUGACAUGUUUUUCAUUGUUAGUUAAUGCAUUCAUUUACAAUGAAUUAAUUUGAGUUCAUGUUGUAAUUAAGUAAGUUCAGUAAGUUACAUGUCUUAACUCAGCAUUAGUUUUGUAUUUACUUAUAUUUAAGUAAGAAUUCAUUUAGGUAUAUGUUCAAUGUUUCCAAUGAUGAGCAGUUAAUCCACUAAACCCAAAGAUAAUUCCUGAGGCAUGUUUAAAGAGUUUUGUAUUUCAUCAAAGAUUUUAUAUUUAAGAAAAUCUGAGCAUCAUUCAAAAUAACUGUUAACAUGUUUGUCAACUAAACAUGUUUUGUCAACGUUAUAAACUUUAUAGAAAUAUUUUUUAUUAAUGACCAAGUAUAAAGAACCAUGCAUAGCGUGAAAACGCGGAUUAUAUAAAAGUAUAUAAUAAAGUGCGAGCAGAGGAUCGAUCAAACUUGGGCUGGAAUGAUUGUAGUGCAUCCAAUGCACCUUGGAAUUCGUAGUUUACAUCUACAGCAGCAUAUGCUACAGCAGUGACAACGCCAAAGAAAAGGACUACAUUUCCCAGAAUGCACCUGCACCCACUCAUCUGCCCCCACUCUUCAGGUGCGACUGCUUGACCUAUGGGCUUGACGGGAAAAUUCAAAAUCGCGAACCGUUACAGCCUGGACUUCUCGGUGUCUUUCUUUGUUUGUUUGCUCAUCAACAUUAAGAGGUCAUGUACACUGUGGUCAACUUGUGGACGCUGAAGAGGUUUCUGGAGAAAUAAUGAAGUAACAGUGGAAGCUAAAACAUCAGACUGAUCCAGACACUGAAGAAAUUGAUGUCACUGCAAUCUGGCCAAAAUGAUAGAAAUAUAAUGAAGUAACAGUGGAAGCUAAAACAUCAAACUGAUCCAGACACUGAAGAAAUUGAUGUCACUGCAAUCUGGCCAAAAUGAUACAACUAUAUUGAAGUAGCCUACUGUAAUGAAGCUGCAGAACGUCACAGAGACUCUGAGGACAUCAUCACAGAAUAUCAAGGCUCCCAAGAGAUGUCUGUCCAGAUGAGGGUGCAUCAACGUUACCUUUGCUGACAAGUAUAUGCUUUACAAUGUAAAACCUAACAGUUAACUUAACUCAAACCAUUUAAGGAAAUUGGUUGCCUUAAAUCAUUAAGUUUUAAAAAAACAUACAUUUGAGUACUGUGAACUUAAGUCUUGUGCAAUUAUGCACUUAUAUUUAGGUAGUGUGAACUUAAAUAUAAGUGCUUAACUGCAUGUGACUCAAUUUGUUUAAGUUCACAGUACUCAAAUCUAUGUGUUUUAAAACUUGAAUGGUUUAAUGCAACCGGUUUUCUUAAAUGUGAGAAAUUACAGUGUUACAGUGAGAAAUGUUUGAAUAAUUCCAAGACAGAGCUCUGUGAUUGAUUCUACACUGCAAAAAUCACUUUCUAACACUUUUUAUCUUGUUUUCAGUAGAAAAACUAAAAAUUCUUAAAUCAAGAUGUAUUUUCUUGAUGAGCAAAAUUACCUUAGAAAAUAUGUCUAGUUUUUAGACAAAAAUAUACAAUUUAAGAUAAUUUGUGCCUAAACAAGCAAAAAUAUCUAACAAUGGGGUGAGAAAAUUGUGUGUUAAUUAAGUUUUUAAGAAAAAAGAAAACUUAAGAUUUUUUUCUCACACUAUUGGCAGAUAUUUUUGCUUGUUUUAAGUACAAAUUCACUUAAUACACAGACACACACACAUUAUUUAUUUGGUCUAAAACUAGACUUAUUUUCUUGGGUCAUUUUGUUCCUCAAGAAAAAGCAUUUUAAUUUAAAUAAUAUUUCUACAGAAAACAAGACAAAAAUACUAUGUAAGAAAGUCAUUUUUUGCAGUGUAGGACUAAUUUCUUUAGAUUAUUUAGAUAUUUACUACAUUACAGUGGCAGCUGGUGACUUCUUUUUUUUGUGAGCACUCAAUGCGAAGUUUGUCACAACAUGUAUAUAGCCCGUCAUUUGUGUGGUUCCCAAUUUCAAAAUAUGUGUUCUGUGUGUCGAGUGCGUGUAUGUGCAUCACGUGUUUUGACUAAACACGUGAUGCACGUGGUUUACAUGAAGCAACAAACACAUAUUUUAAAAACACAAGCAACACGCAUGACACUCUGAACACUUAUUUUGAAUUUGCAACCCUCGGAUGAGCAGUCACGAGCAGCCACUGCUACAUUACAUUGUACUGCUUUGAAUGUAGUUUUCAUUGUUGCUUUUAUUUUGUUUUAUUUUACUCUAAUAUUGCUUUCUCUGUCUGUAUAUUUAUGAGUUUAAAUGGUAUUGUUUAUGUAUGCAACUUUUAAUAUUUGUGUAUUAUAUUAUUUUGUGAUUGUGACAAUUGUGGAUUGUUCAGUUUUUUAUUAAAUAAACAUUUCAAACUCAA